UUUUGAUUCAGGCGUGCUGGAGCAGGGAUGCAUCCAAGGACUUAAGGAUCAUUACAUAUGUGCAUCUUGGAUGUGUUGACUACACGCUUUAGGUGAGACGCACCUCCCAGAUGAAUAUUUCAUGGCAGCUAUUGAGCUCACUAUACUACUAGGAAGAUUGCUCAUCUAACGCUUUUAUUUUGAACUGCGACGGUUUAUUUAAACGAACCCGGUUGCAUUAAAACGGGCACGAAGAGGCAUCAGCUAGCUCAGCUGCCCAGCAUGCCCCGACAUGCACAUGGUUAGCUACUCGCCCCUAGCCGGGCACCUCUGCCUUAUUUACACCAAAGCAGGUUCAGGCUCCUCUGAGGGGACCAGUACAGGUUUAGAGGGAAAUUGUGUUUUUAGGAGGGUGAGGAGGCGCGUAAGCCACAGACAGAGAAAUGCGAGAUGCUCCAACUGUGUCUGGAGUCCACAGAAACUUGAUUUAGCGGCAGAGAGAGAGAAGGCGGACCGCUAAAGUUUCGGGGAAACCGAGCAACAGCACAAAGACGGCGGUUGGAAUUUAAAGUCAGUAGAUGUAGGAAGGACAGGUAGAACCAGCGAGGUAUUUUAAGUUGAUAAAUGUAUUUUUUUUUUAACGGGAUGGAGCCGAGCGGGGCUCUGCGCCACGCAUCGUUCAGACAUACCGUCUCUAACCUGAACACAUCACCAACAACAACUGGGGCGAAACGAGCCGCCGGUGGCGAUUUCUACCCGACAAACUCCACCAGAGACUGGGCUAGCAAGCGUGUUCCGAGCCCGAAGCGGGGACAGUGGUUCUCACCAUUAAAACUUUGGCAGCGCUCUCCAGCUGUGUGAUCACUUCUGGUGCACCAACCGCCGCCAUCAUCAUCGGCUCUCUCCAAUGACGCGCCAUGCGCUCUGCAUUGUGGGACUGCCCGGCAGGAUCCACGGCGUGGAGACUCAGCGAGUUACGUAACCGUGGAAAAGCACUUUCCUGUGGCAGAACUCUGCAAGAACUUUGCGCUCUGGAGCUGGACCACGGCUACGAAAAAUGUAAACAAUGACUGGGAGAAAUAUGAGCUGAAAGUGAAGGUUUAAUUUUGAAAUAUACUCAAAUUAUUGCUCAUAAUUCCUGUAUGUCUUACACAGUGGUUCCGCUUUUGCAAAAAGGGAUAAAUAUAAUAAACAACGUAAAAUUGA